CUAAAAUGCAACAGUUGUCAGAUCUAGGACGGCGGUUGGACCUCAACAAAGUUCACCUGGAUGACUCAUCCUGUUGCUCAGAUGAUCGCAUGCUUGCCUGUCCUUCAACAGCAGGCUCAGAAAGUGGUCCUGAUGGAUUUACUGGCAGCGUGCAGGAUGGAACUUGUGCAAGCACAUUUCAGAUAAAAGAAGCCACUGAGCGCUCAAAUGAAGCUUCUGGCUUGUUUAAACAAGAUAAUGUGACAAAUCUUGCUCUUGUGGAUUUCAAUAGAAAAAAUGAGAGCAGAGACGUUUGGACCAGAAAUACUGGAAUAAAUAGUAGUGUAGAGAGCCCUGUUGGUCCAGAAUCCGUGCUUAGCCCCCCAGUAGGCAUUUCUGAAGAACUUGGUUGCUACAGUGGAGAUCAAAAGAGUGACAGUGUUGAGCUGAAGCCAAAACUUGCUAGAGAAGUGAGUUGCGAGAAGAGUGAGGUAGAG
rnacentral:misc_RNA from 1 species